rnacentral:rRNA from 1 species
AGGACGAACGCUGGCGGCGUGCUUAACACAUGCAAGUCGAGCGGUAAGGCCUUUCGGGGUACACGAGCGGCGAACGGGUGAGUAACACGUGGGUGAUCUGCCCUGCACUUCGGGAUAAGCCUGGGAAACUGGGUCUAAUACCGGAUAUGACUUCAGGUUGCAUGACUUGGGGUGGAAAGAUUUAUCGGUGCAGGAUGGGCCCGCGGCCUAUCAGCUUGUUGGUGGGGUAAUGGCCUACCAAGGCGACGACGGGUAGCCGACCUGAGACGGGUGACCGGCCAACGACUGGGAACUGGAGACACGGCCAGACUCCGACGGGAGGCAGCAGUGGGAAUAUUGCACAUGGGCGAAAGCCUGAUGCAGCGACGCCGCGGUGAGGAUGACGGCCGUUCGGGUUCGUAAACCGUCUUUCGAGCGAAGGACGAAGCGACGAGUGACGUACUGACAGAAGAAGCGACGGACUAACGUACG